UCGAGAAUUUUUCACAAUGGGGGCAACCCUGAUGGAGCGACGCCGCGUGGAGGAUGAAGGCCUUCGGGUUGUAAACUCCUGUCAUGCGGGAACAAGCAAGUGAUAGUACCGCAAGAGGAAGAGACGGCUAACUCUGUGCCAGCAGCCGCGGUAAUACAGAGGUCUCAAGCGUUGUUCGGAUUCAUUGGGCGUAAAGGGUGCGUAGGUGGUGACGCAAGUCUGGUGUGAAAUCUCGGAGCUCAACUCCGAAAUUGCACCGGAUACUGCGUGACUCGAGGACUGUAGAGGAGAUCGGAAUUCACGGUGUAGCAGUGAAAUGCGUAGAUAUCGUGAGGAAGACCAGUUGCGAAGGCGGAUCUCUGGGCAGUUCCUGACACUGAGGCACGAAGGCCAGGGGAGCAAACGGG
rnacentral:rRNA from 1 species